GUUCUUUCUCAUUUCUCAUGAACACACACUAAAAUUGGAACCAUACAGAGAUUAGCAUGGCCCCUGCGCAAGGGUGAUACACAAAUUCGUGAAGUGUUCCAUAUUUUU
rfam:Erinaceus europaeus unplaced genomic scaffold scaffold00337, whole genome shotgun sequence